rnacentral:rRNA from 1 species
UGGGGGAUAUUGCACAAUGGGCGAAAGCCUGAUGCAGCGACGCCGCGUGGGGGAUGAAGGCUUUCGGGUUGUAAACCUCUUUCGCUAUCGAACAAGGCUCAUUUUUUGGUGGGUUGAGGGUAGGUGGAGAAGAAGCGCCGGCUAACUACGUGCCAGCAGCCGCGGUAAUACGUAGGGCGCGAGCGUUGUCCGGAAUUAUUGGGCGUAAAGGGCUUGUAGGCGGCUUGUUGCGCCUGCUGUGAAAACGCGGGGCUUAACUUCGCGCGUGCAGUAGGUACGGGCAGUCUUGAGUUUGGUAGGUGUGACUGGAAUUCCAGGUGUAGCGGUGGAAUGCGCAGAUAUCUGGAGGAACACCGAUGGCGAAGGCAGGUCACUGGGCCAUUACUGACGCUGAGGAGCGAAAGCAUGGGUAGCGAACAGG